rnacentral:rRNA from 1 species
CAGCCGCCGCGGUAAUACGUAGGGUGCAAGCGUUAAUCGGAAUUACUGGGCGUAAAGCGUGCGCAGGCGGUUAUAUAAGACAGAUGUGAAAUCCCCGGGCUCAACCUGGGAACUGCAUUUGUGACUGUAUAGCUAGAGUACGGCAGAGGGGGGUGGAAUUCCGCGUGUAGCAGUGAAAUGCGUAGAUAUGCGGAGGAACACCGAUGGCGAAGGCAAUCCCCUGGGCCUGUACUGACGCUCAUGCACGAAAGCGUGGGGAGCAAACAGGAUUAGAUACCCGCGUAGUCCCUGUCUCUUAUAC